UACGGGGGGGGCAAGCGUUGUUCGGAAUUACUGGGCGUAAAGGGCUCGUAGGUUGCCAACUAAGUCAGACGUGAAAUCCCUCGGCUUAACCGGGGAACUGCGUCUGAUACUGGAUGGCUUGAGUUCGGGAGAGGGAUGCAGAAUUCCAGGUGUAGCGGUGAAAUGCGUAGAUAUCUGGAGGAAUACCGGUGGCGAAGGCGGCAUCCUGGACCGACAUUGACGCUGAACGGCGAAAGCUAGGGGAGCAAACGGG
rnacentral:rRNA from 1 species